UCCGGUGAAUAUGACAGAGAGGUCACACCUGUUCCCUUCCCGAACACAGCAGUUAAGCUCUCUGGUGCCCACGAUACUUGGCUGGUAACGGCCCGGGAAAAUAGGUCUUCGCCGGAU
rnacentral:rRNA from 1 species